rnacentral:rRNA from 1 species
CCUGAGACUUAAAGUCUCCUGAAGGAACGUUGAAGACGACGACGUUGAUAGGUCGGGUGUGUAAGCGCAGCGAUGUGUUGAGCUAACCGAUACUAAUGAACCGUGAGGCUUAACCUUACAACGCCGAAG